rnacentral:rRNA from 1 species
UACGUAGGGUGCAAGCGUUUAAUCGGAAUUACUGGGCGUAAAGCGUGCGCAGGCGGUUCUAUAAGACAGAUGUGAAAUCCCCGGGCUCAACCUGGGAACUGCAUUUGUGACUGCAUGGCUAGAGUACGGUAGAGGGGGAUGGAAUUCCGCGUGUAGCAGUGAAAUGCGUAGAUAUGCGGAGGAACACCGAUGGCGAAGGCAAUCCCCUGGACCUGUACUGACGCUCAUGCACGAAAGCGUGGGGAGCAAACAGG